AAGUCUGACGGAGCAACGCCGCGUGAACGAAGAAGGUUUUCGGAUCGUAAAGUUCUGUUGUUAGGGAAGAACAAGUACCGUUCAAAUAGGGCGGUACCUUGACGGUACCUACCGAGGAAGCCCCGGCUAACUACGUGCCAGCAGCCGCGGUAAUACGUAGGGGGCAAGCGUUGUCCGGAAUUAUUGGGCGUAAAGCGCGCGUAGGCGGUUUCUUAAGUCUGAUGUGAAAUCUUGCGGCUCAACCGCAAGCGGUCAUUGGAAACUGGGGAACUUGAGUACAGAAGAGGAGAGCGGAAUUCCACGUGUAGCGGUGAAAUGCGUAGAUAUGUGGAGGAACACCAGUGGCGAAGGCGGCUCUCUGGUCUGUAACUGACGCUGAGGUGCGAAAGCGUGGGGAGCGAACAGGAUUAGAUACCCUGGUAGUCCACGCCGUAAACGAUGAGUGCUAGGUGUUAGGGGGUUUCCGCCCCUUAGUGCUGCAGUUAACGCAUUAAGCACUCCGCCUGGGGAGUACGGCCGCAAGGCUGAAACUCAAAAGAAUUGACGGGG
rnacentral:rRNA from 1 species